GCUCUGGGCCGCCCGGGGUCACCGAGAACUCGCACGGGCAAGCGGGCGCGGCUUGCUCCCAGGCCUGGCCUUAGUGAGCUUGCUUAACUUUCCUUAGUUUUCCAGACCGGAAGGCCGCGUGUAAUACUUCUCGGGUUUGGGAGAAUUACAUGAGAGAAUGAUGUGAACAACAAUAAGUGCUAUUUGUCGAGUGCUUCCUUUGGGACUGGUAUUGUUAACCACUUAACACAGAAGCUCAUUCAUUCGCUCAUUCAUUCAAUACAUGAUUAUUGAUUGCAUGCUGUGUAUCAAUACUGCACGGCGCUGGAGAUGAACGCUCACCCCUAGACCAGGGUGCUGGUAACCGUCUGCAGAAAGUCAUGCCCAGCUGAGCAGUCAGUGUGAUCUUACAGAAGAUGGUACAGCCUUCAAGCCUUAGUGGGCACAAGAACCCUGUGGACCUGCUCAGGAGACCACACGGCAGAACCCUGGGAACUCUCAGAAGCAGCUGGCAGAUUAACCCUGAGCUAACAUCUGCCACCAAUCCUUCUCUUUUUGCUGAGGAAGACUGGCCCUGAGCUGACAUCCGUGCCCAUCUUCCUCUACUUUAUAUGUGGGACGCCUACCACAACAUGGCUUGACAAGUAGUGAGUAGGUCCAUACCUGGAAUCGGAACUGGCAAACCCCGGACCGUCAAAGCAGAAUGUGCAAACUUAACUGCUGCGCCACAGGGCUGGGCCCCACAUUCUUUUUUAAAAUUGUGAAAUAUGUCAUAUAUACAUGAGUAUACAUGUAUAAAAUGUAAACACAUAAGUUAAAGAAAAAUUAUCAAGUGAACAUUGAGUAUCUACUGUUCAGGUUGCAAAAUAAAACAUUGUCAAUACUUGGAAGCUCCUGUGUGCCUUCACCUGAACAUAUCCCUUUCCUUUUCCCGAGAGGUAACAGUCAUAUUUACUUUUAUCAAAUCAUUCUCUUGCUGUGUUUUAUAUUUACACAACCUAUGUAUGCAUCCCUAAUGACAAAUUGUUUAUUUUUGUCUAUUUUUGAACUCUAUAUAAUGGAAUCAUAUUAUAUAUGUUCAGUUUUUACUUGCUUCUGUCACUCAAAAAUAAUUUGUGAGAUUCACUCAUGCUGCUAAGUGUCUAUUUUCAUUUUGUAUGGUAUUCCAUCGUUUGAAUAUAUCACAAUUUAUUUAUCCACACUACUGUAAUAGAUAUCUUAGUUAUCUCCAGUUUUUGUAUAUUAUAAACCAAAUUGCCAAGAAUGUUAUUAUACAUGAUUCUUUGUACACAUACGCAAGAAUUUUUCUAGGGCAUUUACCCAGGAGUAGAAUUCCUUGAGAGUAGAGUAUGAGUGUAAUCAACUCUACUAGGUAUUGCUAAACAAUUUUUCUAAAGAAAUUGUGCCAACUAACACUUCUACUAAUGUUAACUAAUAGUUGGUAUUGUCAGAUUUGCUGUUUAAAUUUGCGUUUCCCUGAUUACUAAUGAAAUUGAGCAUCUUUUCUUAUUUGUAUUAGCGAUUGAGUUUCCUCAUUUGUGAAGUUCCUGUUCAAGUUAUGUACCCAUUUUUCUAGUAGGUUAUAUAUCUUUUCCUGUUGUUUUGUAGUUCUUUCUAUAUUCUGUAUAGUAGUUCUUUGUCAGUAUUUGUAUUACAAACCUUUGCCUAAUUUGUGAUUUUUUAAAUUCUCUUUAUCAUGUCUAUUAUUGAACAGAAGUUCUUAAUUUUUUUAGAAGUUCUUAAUUUUAAUGUAACCAAAUAUAUAAAUAUUUUCCUUUAUGUUUUAUGCCUUUUGUACCUUAUUUCAGAAUUUUUCCUAUAAAGAGCAUAAUACUUUUUGCAUCUUGUUUAAAAAAUUCCCCCUUAUGCAAAGAUCUUAAGGAUAUUUUCCUAUAUUUACUUAUAAAUAUUUACUUUUUUUUACACAUUUAGGUCUUUAGUUCACCUGAAAUUGAUUUUUGUGUAUUAUGUGAGGUGGGAAGUCAAAAUUUUUUUAUCCCUGUAUGGGUAACCAGUUUUCUCAGCAUCAUUUAUUAACAUUCAUCUUUUACUCACUGAUCUAUAACGUGGCCGUUGUUGUAAGGUUUCCUUAUAUGUGGGUUACUGGGGGCUUCCUGCUCUGACCCUACGGUAAUGUCUUAAUCACCAUAGGUUUAUAAUUAGCCUGAGAUUCUAGGGUAAGUGCCCUGUACCUCGUUCUUCUUCAAAAUUGUCUUGUUUGUUGGUUUGGCUUGGUUUUUCUUUAUACAUUUUAGAAUCAGCUUUAAAAGUUUCAUGAAAUGCUCUCAUUAUUUUUAAAAAUUGCUUUAAAUUUAUGGAUUAAUUUGUGGGAAAUUGACAUUUUCAGAAUAUUGAAUCUACUUAUCCAUAAAUGUGGUAUAGGUCUCUGUUUAGAAAAUUACAGAUUUUUCAUAAAAAUCUUACAUAUAUUCUUAAGAUUUGUUUCUAUGUAUCUGUGUCAGAUAUCUUCUCUAUGUCCACUCUUCAGUGUUCACCAUUUUGUUCUCUACUCUGGGAGGCUGACCUGUAUGGACUACAUCCAUGGCCUCCUAUGAUCUCGGGUUCUAUUGGGUUCAGCUAAUAGGGUGCCCCAGCUAUAGAUCAGAGAGAAGGAGGAGAGUGAAGUCAGGGUAUUGUUGAUUCCUCCUGCUCCCACAAGGUUGCCUUAAGUUGGCUAUUUCCCUCUACUGAAGGUUACUUCUCUCAAAGUGGUAAGACUCUCUUUCCUUCUUAGUCCCUCCCUUCAUCCCUUUGGACAAAGAGUCAUAAUAAUUUCUUAUGGAGCAAAGAGUAGAAGUCCAAAAGUCCAGGUAAUGGACAAUAAGGAUUAUUUAAGGUUUGUGGCCUGGAAGAAGAAGGAAGACAUGUUUAGUAAGUAUGAGAUGGUGACAUUUUUUCAUGUGCUAUAGGAACAUCAGGAGAAAUAAAGACUGUGAAAAGCCUUUUAAAAAAAUAACCAACAUGAAAUUAUUGAGCACAAACUAUAUGCCUUGCUCUGUGAUAGGUGCUUUACAUAUUUUAUCUCACUUAAUUCCUAUGAUAAUCUUAUGAGAUAGAUUUUGUUAUCCCUAUUUCACAGGUGAGAUUUUAAAGAUGCUUUCUCAAGGUCACGAGCUAGUUAAUAAGGAGUAGAAUCAGAAUUUUAACCUAGGUCUACUUGAAUCCAAAGCCCAUUCUAUUAAUUACCUUGCUAUUCUGUCACAUUAUACCAUUAAAUUAACAAUCAGGAGAUUAUGUCCUUUCAGAGUGGAGUUUUGGUUAAGCGAUCAGGAUGCAGUUUCAGAGGAGUGAUCAGGCUGGAUCAUCUCAAGAGGUUAAGGAAUGAAGUGGCAAAGAAAUAAAGAUGGCAGUGGCAUAGCAGCUAUUUGAUUAGUAGUAAAAGAUUGGAGAUGAAUAGUAUUGAUUGCUAGAAGUCCCAUAUUUCUAAAAAGUCUAUGUCACACAAAGUCUGACCUUUCUCAUCGUGAGAUAUACUCAGCUGGCCCUCUCUGAGGAGUUCUACUCUGUUAUUCCAAUAGUGAUGCCCCAGUUCGACAGGGCUUUCCCCUCCUCAUAGGAAAAAAAGAAGCUAGACAAGCUUCUUGGAGACAGAGCAUCUCAUUCAUCUCUGUAUUCCAACCACAGAGCCUGGUAUGCUUUCAACCAAACAUUGUGAUUUGGGCUGUAUGAUCUGGGUCUUGCUGCAGGGCCUGUUUAUCCUCAUUAACAUUAAUACAGUGCUGUCUUCCAGGUCACCUUGUGCCAGCAACACAGAAAAAGAUAUUAAUGUCUGCCAUUCUCCUGCCUUUCCUUCAUAACAGCUCUGCCACCUAAUACUUAAGCACAGACAGGUGCCAUUUGAUAAAACACUUAUAAGAAGGUUACGGGAAAAAUCAGCUUUAACCUUAGAUCAGCAACUCUCAAAAGAGAAACCAUUGCUAUCACAGGAAGCAAAGAAAUUCUCUGAGGAUAGUAGUAAAAAUGUACAGUGAAAACUAAGACCAAGAUUGCUGGUGAACAGGUAAUGGAAUAAGUAACUAGAAGCCAUUUUCCC
ensembl:lncRNA